rnacentral:rRNA from 1 species
AGAGUUUGAUCAUGGCUCAGAACGAACGCUGGCGGCGUGGCUAAGACAUGCAAGUCGAACGGACUAUUUUGCGGAGUAAUCUAAUAAAUAGUUAGUGGCGAAAGGGUGAGUAACGGACAGGUAACGUACCCUGUGCAUCGGGAUAGCGUCUCGAAAGGGGCAUUAAUACCGAAUAAUAUCACAGAUUGAUGGAUUUGUGAUCAAAGAUUUAUCGGCACAGGAGCGGCCUAUCUCCUAUCAGCUUGUUGGUGAGGUAAAAGCUCACCAAGGCAAUGACGGGUAGCGGGACUGAGAGGUUGGCCCGCCACAUCGGGACUGAGACACUGCCCGGACCUCCACGGAGGGCUGCAGUAACGAAUAUUGCGCAAUGGGCGAAAGCCUGACGCAGCGACGCCGCGUGCGGGAUGAAGUCCCUCGGGAUGUAAACCGCUGUCAGGGGUAAGAAAGUGUACUUCGGUGCAUUGAUCUAACCCAGAGGAAGUCACGGCUAACUUCGUGCCAGCAGCCGCGGUAAGACGAAGGUGGCUAGCGUUGUUCGGUGUCACUGGGCUUAAAGCGUGUGUAGGCGGAAAAGUAAGCGUUUUGUGAAAUCCCUCGGCUUAACCGAGGAAUCGCUUGGCGAACUACUUUUCUUGAGGCAAACAGGGGUGCAUGGAACUCUUAGUGGAGCGGUGGAAUGCGUAGAUAUUAAGAGGAACGCCGGAGGUGAAGACGGUGCACUGGGUUUGUCCUGACGCUGAGACACGAAAGCGUGGGGAGCGAACGGGAUUAGAUACCCCGGUAGUCCACGCUGUAAACGAUGUCUACUAGGUUGUGGGAGUUCUGACACUUUCACGACCGAAGCAAAAGUGUUAAGUAGACCGCCUGGGGAGUACGGUCGCAAGGCUAAAACUCAAAUGAAUUGACGG